rnacentral:rRNA from 1 species
GAAGGCCCAAGCGUUAUCCGGAAUUACUGGGCGUAAAGCGUCCGCAGGCGGUUUGGUAAGUAUGCUGUUAAAUCUCAGGGGGGCUCAACCCUGAGGGCUGCAACGUAAACUGCCAGACUAGAGGAUGGGAGAGGCAUCUGGAAUUGUCGGUGUAGUAGUAAAAUGCGUUAAUAUCGACAGGAACACCAAAUGCGAAGGCAUGAUGCUAGAACAUUCCUGACGCUCAGGGACGAAAGCGUGGGUAGCGAAUCGGAUUAGAUACCCGAGUAGUCCACGCCGUAAACGAUGUGCACUAGGCAUUGGCAGUGUCGACCCUGUCAGUGCCGCUGAACCAAGCUAACGCGUUAAGUGCACCGCCUGGGGAGUACGGUCGCAAGACUA